GGACUGGUAGCUCAGUUGGAAGAGUGCCACUGCACUACACUGGAGGUCACAGAUUCAAUCCUAUUUAGUUCA